CCUACGUGAGGCUGCAGUGGGGAAUUUUGGACAAUGGGGGAAACCCUGAUCCAGCAAUGCCGCGUGUGCGAAGAAGGCCUUCGGGUUGUAAAGCACUUUUGUCAGGGAAGAAAUCCUUUGGGCUAAUACCCUAGGGGGAUGACGGUACCUGAAGAAUAAGCACCGGCUAACUACGUGCCAGCAGCCGCGGUAAUACGUAGGGUGCAAGCGUUAAUCGGAAUUACUGGGCGUAAAGCGUGCGCAGGCGGUUGUGUAAGACAGGUGUGAAAUCCCCGGGCUUAACCUGGGAAUUGCAUUUGUGACUGCACGACUAGAGUGUGUCAGAGGGGGGUGGAAUUCCACGUGUAGCAGUGAAAGUCGUAGAUAUGUGGAGGAACACCAAUGGCGAAGGCAGCCCCCUGGGAUAACACUGACGCUCAUGCACGAAAGCGUGGGGAGCAAACAGGAUUAGAUACCCUAGUAGUC
rnacentral:rRNA from 1 species